rnacentral:rRNA from 1 species
UACGGGGGGGGGCAAGCGUUGUUCGGAAUUACUGGGCGUAAAGGGCUCGUAGGCGGCCAACUAAGUCAGACGUGAAAUCCCUCGGCUUAACCGGGGAACUGCAUCUGAUACUGGAUGGCUUGAGUUCGGGAGAGGGAUGCGGAAUUCCAGGUGUAGCGGUGAAAUGCGCAGAUAUCGGGAAGAACACCCGUGGCGAAGGCGGCUCUCUGGGACGGUACUGACGCUGAGACGCGAAAGCGUGGGGAGCGAACAGG